GUGCCAGCAGCCGCGGUAAGACAGAGGUUGCAAACGUUGUUCGGAAUUACUGGGCAUAAAGCGCACGUAGGCGGUCCACUAAGUCAGGUGUGAAAUCCCCCGGCUCAACCGGGGAAUUGCGCCUGAUACUGGCGGGCUCGAGAUCGAUAGGGGUGAGCGGAACUCCAGGUGGAGCGGUGAAAUGCGUAGAUAUCUGGAGGAACACCGGUGGCGAAAGCGGCUCACUGGAUCGACACUGACGCUGAGGUGCGAAAGCUAGGGUAGCAAACGGGAUUAGAUACCCCGGUAGUCC
rnacentral:rRNA from 1 species